rnacentral:rRNA from 1 species
GAUGAACGCUGGCGGCGUGCUUAACACAUGCAAGUCGAACGGAAAGGCCGAAGCUUGCUUCGGUACUCGAGUGGCGAACGGGUGAGUAACACGUGGGUGAUCUGCCCUGUACUUCGGGAUAAGCUUGGGAAACUGGGUCUAAUACCGGAUAUGACGAUCUCUUGGAUGGGGUUGUGGAAAGCUUUUGCGGUAUGGGAUGAGCUCGCGGCCUAUCAGCUUGUUGGUGGGGUAAUGGCCUACCAAGGCGUCGACGGGUAGCCGGCCUGAGAGGGUGUACGGCCACAUUGGGACUGAGAUACGGCGCAGACUCCUACGGGAGGCAGAAGUGGGGAAUAUUGCACAAUGGGCGCAAGCCUGAUGCAGCGACGCCGCGUGGGGGAUGACGGCCUUCGGGUUGUAAACUCCUUUCGCAAUCGACGAAGCCUUUUGGUGACGGUAGGUUGAGAAGAAGCACCGGCUAACUACGUG